GAUGAACGCUGGCGGCGUGCUUAACACAUGCAAGUCGAACGGAAAGGCUCCUGCUUGCAGGGGUACUCGAGUGGCGAACGGGUGAGUAACACGUGGGUGAUCUGCCCUGCACUUCGGGAUAAGCCUGGGAAACUGGGUCUAAUACCGGAUAGGACGAUGGUUUGGAUGCCAUUGUGGAAAGUUUUUUCGGUGUGGGAUGGGCUCGCGGCCUAUCAGCUUGUUGGUGGGGUAAUGGCCUACCAAGGCGUCGACGGGUAGCCGGCCUGAGAGGGUGUACGGCCACAUUGGGACUGAGAUACGGCCCAGACUCCUACGGGAGGCAGCAGUGGGGAAUAUUGCACAAUGGGCGCAAGCCUGAUGCAGCGACGCCGCGUGGGGGAUGACGGCCUUCGGGUUGUAAACUCCUUUCGCUAGGGACGAAGCGCAAGUGACGGUACCUGGAGAAGAAGCACCGGCUAACUACGU
rnacentral:rRNA from 1 species